ACCUGCCCACUGAAAAUUUAAAUGGCCGCAGUAUAUUAACUGUGCAAAGGUAGCAUAAUCAUUAGUCUUUUAAUUGAAGGCUGGUAUGAAUGGUUGGACGAAAUAUUAACUGUUUCAAAUAAAUUUAUUGUAGAAUUUUAUUUUUUAGUUAAAAAGCUAAAAUUUAUUUAAAAGACGAGAAGACCCUAUAAAUCUUGAUAUUUUAAUUUAUUUUAAUUAUAAAGAAUAAUUAUAUUAAAAUAAAAUAAAAUAUUUUAUUGGGGUGAUAUUAAAAUUUAAUAAACUUUUAAUUUGUUAAAUCAUUAAUUUAUGAAUAAUUGAUCCAGUUAUACUGAUUAAAAAUUGAAGUUACUUUAGGGAUAACAGCGUAAUUUUUUUGGAGAGUUCAUAUCGAUAAAAAAGAUUGCGACCUCGAUGUUGGAUUAAGAGAUACUUUUAGGUGUAGCCGCUUAAAUUUUAAGUCUGUUCGACUUUUAAAUUCUU
rnacentral:rRNA from 1 species